rnacentral:tRNA from 1 species
GUCUCCAUCGUCUAAGGGUUAGGACACCAGGUUUUCAUCCUGGUAAUAGCAGUUCGAAUCUGCUUGGAGAUGCCA